GGGGCAUAAGCGCUAAAGCAACAAGACAAUAGAAGCCUACAUCUUGCCCGAGAUAAUUAGCUUACAUGCUGAUGACAAGGGGUUGAAGCCGGACAGCUGCAGACUGAGGCGAUCCGCGGCGCCCUCUACUGGUCACCAGUAGGAAUGUAUCUCUACAGCCUCUUGGGGAAGCUUUGCAAGUAAUUAGGUCAUAGAAAGGAGGACUGGAAUUUUCUCUUCGAGUCUGAGGGCAAGUGGACAUGCAUUUGGUGAUGAAGGGGCUUUUUACUUUCCGCACUUCCAAAGCCUGAAGCAAUGAGAGGCCUGCACUGCUUGUGGAGGACAGAAGAGGGCAUCAGGUCCCCUGGAACUGGAGUUAAAGAAGGUAGUGGGCCACUAUUGUGAAUGCGGGAAACAGUAUCAGGUCCUGUAGAAGGGCAGCAAGUGCUCUAAGUGGGUGAGUCAUUGCUACAGCUCUAAGAGACAUACAUUUUUAUAAGACCAUGGUUUUAUUCUGUUAGGGCUCCAUGCUCAUGAUUUGAUUUCAUCUUUGAAAGUAUCCCUUCUAACAUCCAGAUAUCAUCAAUAUUAUAGGAUUAAAGGAUGAUGCCUUUAAGAGCAUAUGUGGUUAAAAUGGCUUCGUCCUGCUUAAUGAGUUUUUAGCCCCUCACAACACAGAUGUCAUGAGUCAUCUGGCAGCUUGUCCCCAUGUUCCUCUGUGGUGUUGGCACAAGGCGUUCCUCUCCUCCAGAGGGUGUAACAGGAAGGUCUCCAUCAGAUUCCGUCAGCUAGAUCAUAGUUUUUAUAUCUCCCCCUGAACUCUGAGGAAUACAUUUCUGUUGUUUUUACAAUAGCUGUCGUCGUCAUGUACUUAGACAUAGUAACCCAUGGAUUAAUAAUGCUCACUCUGAAGGCCUUAUUUCUAAAUACAAUAGCAGUAACUUGGGACUCCAACACACAUGUACUCGUAGUACACAGCUCAGCUCAGAGCAGCUCCCUAGGUAGAGAGCUGUCCCCUCCCUCGCUCUUCAUCAUGGCUGUCUCUUAAAUCCAGUCCCAUAAGUGCUUCUCUUUCUCCACCAUAACCACUGCCAACCAUCCCUAGUCGCCACACCUUUAGCUCUUGUUUUAGCUGUAAGGCUUGCUCCAGCUUAAUGCACACCCCUUUCCACAGUUCACAGUGCAAUCUGUGCCCAUAAGCAAAUCCCCCACCUCCCUCUCACCUAUUCUUAACCUGUCCAUGGAUGAUCUAAAAUGCCCACAUUUAGUUCAGCUUUUACAGACUAUAAUGGAUGCAUAUUUAGCUGCUUAUAGGUUUAGCUGUAAAAAUUAGUAAGUGUUGACCUUUGUGUAUAUCUAUGAAAAUGUGUCCACAGGUAAGAAAAUGAACAUGAUAACUCAUAUCCCUGUACGAUAUCUAUCUCCCCUUCUUCUAUGUUCUUAUCACGGUCACUAGGUGAUUACCACAGUGUAAUUAAUACACACGCUGCAUAUUACAGAGUGUAACUUUUUAGGAUUUUCCAUAAAUGAAAUCAAACUAUUUUGUCUUUUACUCACUUGUUAUAAUUAUCAUCAACAUUUUUGCACAUCCAUUUUGAUGCUUAAAGAAGCUUUUCUUCUGAUUCUUGUAUACUAUUCCAUUUCUUAAUUCAAAAUUUUACUUUAUGUGUAUGGGUGUUUUACCCGUAUGCUUGUCUAGGUACCUCAAGGGUGUCUAUUGUUCACAGAGACCGAAAGACGGUGUCAUAUGCCUUCAAACUGGUGUUACAAACAGGAGUGAGCUGCCAUGUGAAUGCUGGGAAUUGAACCUGGACCCCUUGGAAGAGCAGUCAGUGCUCUUCACUGUUGAGCCAUCUCUCUGGUGCCAGCAUUUCAUUUUUAUAGUUAUACCAAAAUGUGCUUGUUCAUUUCUGAGUGGAAAGUAAGACAAUUCGUUCGAAGUGAUGCUGGUUUUCUGAGGCCGCUGUAACAAGUUAGAGCAAUGCUGAAGUGUUAAAAGAACACAGUUCUUCUUCUCCCGGGUCUGGGAGCCAGAGUCCGAAAUGAACAUGUCAGCAGGAUGACAUCCUCUCCACAGGCCCUGGGGCAUGUACCUUGUGGCCCCUUCUCGCUUUUGACAUUCCUUGGCUUGUGACUUCGUUUCUCCAAUCUCUCUCCAGUUUUACAUAACCUCACCUAUGUCUUUCUGUAUUCCUCUCUUGACAGCUGCUGGUGGUGGUAUUGAGUGCCCACUGGAAAAUGUAGGAAGACAGCCUCAAUGAAAGAGUCGUUCUUUUAUCUGCAACAUUCCCGUUUGUAACUACUCCUAAGAUAAAAUGCAUAGGUUCUGUUGACUGGUUUUUAUUUAUUUUACAUAUGUGAGUACACCAC
rnacentral:sRNA from 1 species